GUGACUAGCUAUAUAACUUACCAUCUAAUCUAUAACACUAUUUGUUGACCCAAAGAUUGAUUUUGAUAAAUAUAAAAUAUUUAAAUAUUUAUUUUAAUACUAAUGAGUUGAUAAAAUUUUUAUAUAAAUAUUUUCAAAAAGUUAAAAUCAUUCUUGGGAAGCAUGUAUUGAUUAAUAAGUUUUAAAAGCAAAAGAAGGUGAUCGGAUAAAGUUGCAUCAUUAAAAAUUA
rnacentral:lncRNA from 1 species